GUACACGCUGUGACUAGCAUAUCAAUAAGCGGAGGAAAAGGACUGCGGAACUGAACGACCGCUACCUACGCUUAGGAUGUUGACGAGACUGUCGAUCUCAUCUAUACAUGACUCUGUGCAUAUCAAUAAGCGGAGGAAAAGAAACUAACAAGGAUUCCCCUAGUAACGGCGAGUGAAGCGGGAAGAGCUCAAAUUUGAAAUCUUAAAGGGUUUCCCUUUACGAAUUGUAGUUUAAAGAAGUGUUUUCUGUUGAGGUUUUGGUAAAAGUUCUUUGGAAUAGGACAUCAUAGGAGGGUGAGAAUCCCGUAUUUGAUCCUUUACUUUCAACUUUGUGAUACACUUUCAAAGAGUCGGAUUGUUUGGGAAUGCAGUCCAAAAUGGGUGGUAAAUUUCAUCUAAAGCUAAAUAUUGGCGAGAGACCGAUAGCGAACAAGUACCGUGAGGGAAAGAUGAAAAGAACUUUGAAAAGAGAGUUAAACAGUACGUGAAAUUGUCAAAAGGGAAGCGUUUGACACCAGUGUUGUUUUUCUGAAAAUCAAUUAAAGAACUGUUUAUGCUAAGUUGUUUAGACUUUAUCAGCUAACUGUUUAGUUUUGAGCUUUCUUUAAUGCACUUUUCAGUUAACAAGUCAACAUCAAUUUCUUUUGCUGUAAAAAAGCUUGAGGAAGGUGGCUUGAGAUUCGUCUUAAGUGUUUAUAGCCUCUUGCCUAUGCAGUCGGAGAGAUUGAGGUCUGCAGCGUAGAUCCUUCGGGGCUAAAUGCAUUUGUGCUAAGUUAUAGCAUUUUAUAGACAACUUGUUGACUAUGAUUUGUCUUGUAGCUUACUCGCUUAUGUUAUUUUACCUACGCUUAGGAUGUUGACAGACUGUCGAUCUC
rnacentral:rRNA from 1 species